ACACUGGGUCCUUUUACAGGGUUUCUUGUGUGUGCCUUGCAGCCUCUGAGGAUGGCCGAGCUGCCACGGAUGGAAGAAACCGUUUAUUUUUCCUGUGAGCCGCUCUGGAGCCUUUCAAAGGUGUGAAGUUCCAGAGCCUGCAAAUGCUGACUCCAUGGGGCUUCACAGAGCGAGCCCUGCCUGGGCCUCAGAGCCACCCCGCUCCAACCCCCAGCCCCCCAGCCCCAAGCUCCAGCUCUUCAUGUGCUGUGGGAACUCCCCCAGGCUCAUCUGGCCUCUCUUGUGCUGAAAGGCUGCAGAGUGACAGGCCAGAAACCUGAUUCAGUGUUUAUUCACCAAACACUGAGAGGGCCCUCCUGAGUCUCCUCCCCACCCAAAGCCUCUGCUACUUGGGGGGGGGGGUACUGUCUAUCUUCCAUGUUCAGGAUACCUGGUAUACUUGCCCCAAGAGAUUAACCAUGAGGAGAAGCCUCCAGACUGGCCCUGAAGCAAGAGUAAAUCUGGUAAGACGGAAGAAAGAAGCCACCGAGAGACAGCAGUUGAAAGAGGAGGAAUCCUAAGUCCUGUGGAUUCUGGGCACUGGCUGAUGUCUUGCCAUUUCUGGCCCACAUUCCUCUCUUGUAUGGAGUUUUGAGGUGUUGUAUGUGAACCUGGAGGCCCCAGGACUUCCAGAAAACGCUGGAGGAAACGCUGUACGCUCUUGUCAUCACAGUGCUUGAACGAAAGGCCAGAGGAUCCACGUCCAGGCUUCUCAACUUUGACUAGUCCUUUCACAGUGUUGGGGGGAGGGGGGGCGGAUUCAUUAGGAAGCCAGUGUUUUCUAAAAUGCCAGGGUGCCUCUGUCACUGCCUGUGUUUUGCUUUGAGUUUGUCCCUCAGCGAUGUAAUAGAAUCCUAAAAGUUACUCCUCCCGUUGAUAUCUGACCACCCUCUUCCACUGUGCCAUCCCCUGCAGGGAUUUAUGGCUUGGUGAGGAGCCUCCACAUAUCCUUGACUGGAUACCAGCACCAGCUUAUUGCCAUAUCAUCCUCAUCAGCCUGGCUUUAAUCGCCUCCAAACCUGAUAACCAUCGGAGGCAGUUCAUCCCUGCAAAUUAUCUAAUCCACAUGUUGUUCAAUUUGUGUAAACCUCAGCCCACGAGGAUCAUAAAAUAAACAAGCAUGAAAUGGUU